rnacentral:rRNA from 1 species
CGGCAACAGCUCAAAUUUGAAAUCUGGCCCCUAGGGUCCGAGUUGUAAUUUGUAGAGGAUGUUUCUGGCGACGCGCCUUCCGAGUUCCCUGGAACGGGACGCCAUAGAGGGUGAGAGCCCCGUACGGUUGGAUGCCUAGCCUCUGUGAAACUCCUUCGAC